rnacentral:lncRNA from 1 species
GACGACCUUUGGACGGAUACCCGAUACCCUACCAUACCACAUCCCAACGAGGAAAAGGAAAUAAAGCGGGUUAGCCUUCCUAAGUCCUUUAAACAUUACUUAUAUAACUAUACAUAUACAGGCAUGCAUUUAACAAAAUAUCUAUGUAAAGGUAUCCAAGUAAAUGUGUCCAUGUAAGUGUACUCAAGUAAGUGUAUCCAUGUAAGUGUACUCAAGUAAGUGUAUCCAUGUAAGUGUGUUCAGGUAAGUGUAUCCCUUCAUAUAUCAUUUAGUAUAGACUCAUGAAUAAACUGACUCUCGUGUAUUUCUUGUACUUGGAAUGGUAAGUAGUAUCUCCCAACUAUACCUAUAAUACUAACUAGUAAGGUACAAGUAUACUGAAGGUAUACCUUUGCUAGCCAAAGAUACUGAACUGACUGAGGGUACUUUUAUGUCUAUAUAUGUAUACAUGAUAUAUAAAUAAUAGUUGAAUGACCUUCGGAUGGAUACUCGAUACCCUACCAGACCACAUCCCAACGAGGAAAAGGAAAUAAAGCGGGUUAGCCUUCCUAAGUCCUUCAAGCAUUACUUAUAUAACUAUACAUGUACAUGCAUGCAUUUGAUAAUAUAAAAUNUAAAAGCAUAAAAGGAGUUUUAUAAAACCCUUGAAAAAGAUUAAUAUCUAAGAAAAGUUCGACUUGAUGUCGGUUUAUAAAACGGUUUAAAAGUAUUUUGUUUAAAUAAACAGUUUAAGUAUAAAGAAACCUUUUGUUUGAAAUACAAUUGUAACAGAGUUCGAAAAGAAACAUACAGUGUAAAAGCGGUUUGAUAAAGAGUUUUAACCAUAUAAAACGUUUAAUCAAACAUUUGAAGAAAUCUGUUUGGUAAAACAACUAACGUAUAGUAAAUCUAAUUGCANAACUUGUAUCCCCCCAUAAAAGCAUUUAAAAACAUUUAAAUCAUUGAUUAAGGGGUAUGAACUCACCUGUAGUGAGUGGUACGGAUGAACUGAAGAUGUAGGAUUGCUAGGUGUCAAGUGAAGUCUUGAACACACUCUAUGAUCCUAGUUAACAUAUAAUAUCACAUAUAUGUAUCCAAUUAGUCUUUAAACAACUAAUAAACAAAGUAAAGACACCCUAGGACAUGCUAAACACCUUAUACAAGUGUUAUAAGUCCCAAGGAUUGCAUCUAAGUGUUGUAGGGAAAGGCUAGUGUGCUUGGGGUUCAAGGAAAACUCCAUUAGGGAGUUUACAGUUUUGUGGUCACAACCAAAAGAGUUUACAGUCAUAAACCCUUGAGUUUAAAGCCGUAAUCUCACACCCUUUUUUACCAUUUAUUGUUUGAAGCCUUAAGAGUCCCUAGAAGCCUUUCUACUUGAAGUAUGUGACUAAGGAAGGAACUAGGGCACCAUUUCACUCCUAUUUGGAGUUUACGGUCCCUAAACCAUUUUCCUUUGAGUUUACUACCGUAAACUCAUAAGGUUUAUGGUAUUUUGGGGGUUUUCAAGACCUUAGCUCAUCAAAGAAUGGAUCCAUGCUAGCUACUAAGGCAUAGGAAGGAAUAUGAGGCAUUUAUACAUAAUUUGGGGUGUUUACGGUUUUGGGAGCUCCCCAAACUGUAAACACAUAUAAAAGAGAGAUUUUUGUGCCUUUUUAUGUGAUAAACACAUCAAGGAAGGAUCUAGGCAUGUCCCUAAGGCAUUGUGAAGGACUAAGGCACCCUUUGGCACCUUUACUUGGUGUUUAUGGUUCAAGGACUUCUUGAACCGUGAACACCUUGUUCUUUGUGUUCUUGGAACAUUUUCUUUUUGUAAAGAUGUGUACUAAGAAGUAUGAUACUCUAGGAUAGAAACUCUUACAGUAUAGAAGCUUGAAAUGAGCCAAAAGUCCAAGAACACUAGUGUGUGUUCUUGGUGUUCUUGGUGAACUUGAAGAAUCAACCUUUUGGAACAUUUAGACGGAUGGAUGUGUGUUAAAACACUAGAUUAAGUCAUAUACUAACUUGAAAGAUCUAGAAACACUCACUAGAUUGAAGAUCUCGAAGAAAGCCGGGAAGAUACUUGAGAGAGUUUGGGAGUUUACUCUUGGAAAGGUUGAAAAAUGAUAAAAAUGGCUAAGUGCCACUUUUAUACCCCUCCCCUUUAGGGUUUACGGCCGUAAACUCUAAACUUUUGAUAUGUCGGGACUUUAUUGUUGCACAAUAAACCCUAGGGCAUCCCCUCUACUGAUAUCUCCUAAAGUGUUAAACCUAGAAUACAACUUAUUCCAAAAAGUUUGAAAUUUAACAGUAACUGUUCCGACUUCUAUUGACUUGAUAUGUUAUACAGAAUGGAAAUUUUGUAUUGUCACAUCAUCCCCCCGUUAGAAGGAAUUUCGUCCCGAAAUUAGGAUUUAGGUGAUGGAGUAGGUAUGAAAAAUCGAGACAAGUAGUUGGGAUACUUCCUAAUCGAUUUUCUUCCUGAGCUUCCAAGUGAAUUUGGAUCCUUGGUUGGUAUUCUAACGAACCUUCACAAAUGGCUCAAUUCUGAUUUGUUUGCAUGAUCUCUCGGUCCAUGGUCACUACGGUUCUUCCACGAAGGUGAGGCUCUCAAUGAUCUUGAUCUCGACAAGUGGGAUUACGAGAAUCCUGACAGAAAGGUACGUUUUCAAGUUCGAGAUGUGAAGGGUAAAAUGUACGUUACUGAGUUUGUGGUGUAUGUUGGGUUUGUGAGUUACAGGACCGAUUUUGGCAAGAAUCUAGGAGGUCCUAACUAUUCUGGAUUUGGCUUACCACGCUUUCCGAAGCGUAUCAAGUCUUCCCAAAGUGAGGCUUCCAAAAGGAUUUUGUCUCACUUGGGAUUCCAACAUUUCUCCCUCUUGCUUCUCUUCUCAGUCAAGGGCCACUCCCUUCUGAUUCAAAGUCAUAAGGGGUUCCGUAAUUUCGCGAGGAGUUCCGAAUGAACUUACGACGGUAGAUUAGCGAGACCUAGAAUUUGGCGAAAUCUCGUCGGUAUCUUCGGUGUUGACAAAUUCUCAACGGUUUUGAUUAUUGGAAGGGUCCUCAAAAUUCCAAAAUCACUAAUAGUGUGCUUCGGGAAUUCGACUCUUCAAAUCUAAAAUUCGUAUUUAGAGAACUUCGUGUAAAGCUUCUCUGAUCGCAAUGUUUCUAGGGUUCGUUGUAGAUGCUCUUUAUGAUUUCGUUCUUACCUAUUUAUGAAGUUCAUGAAUACUACGGGCGCAUUGGUCCUAUCAGAGGGGUAUCACUAUGGGAUCGUAGUGUCCGCAUCGAGUUUGGAAGAUUGUCCUCGGAACAUCCUUCACUAACACUCGCAACUGGUGAUAUUCGGAUCUUAGGUCCAUUUCGGAAAGGUACAUCGUUCCUUGCGGUUGGUCAAUUGAUUCAUCUAUGUGAGGAAGAGAGUGAUGAUUUCUAGUGGAAGUCCUGUUGAGGACUUCCCAAAUGUCACCCAUAAUAGUACUACUCUCGCCCAUGCACACUUAACUGUGGAGUUCUGAUGGGAUCCGGUGCAUUAGUGCUGGUAUGAUCGCACCCUCUGGAUUCCGUCUUCUUGAAGAAUAAGACCAGAGCUCCCAAAGGUGAGAAGCUUGGUCUUUUCAUUCUGUUUCUGGGUAGUCGUUAAACUGUCCGGACGUUUCUUGUAUCAUUUUCAUUCAGGCCAAGAGAGGAGUUAUUGUCACACCCCAAAACCAAGAACGGCGGAAACGUUCUGGGGCGGAGGACGUCAUGUACAGUAUCACAACAAUGAAAAGUAGUAAACAAGCAACAACAUCAUCCAUUACAUUAAUAAUAUAAUUAGUAUACAAGUGUGUUCUGUCAAAUUAUUAUAGACACUAAAGCAUAAAUCAAAAUGAAAGAUGAGUCUUGAAUGAGCUCCAUCUUCUCUAAACUUUGCAUCGGUACCUGUCUAUUGAUGACCUGACGAUACAAGUAAUUUUGAAAGCGAGUAUCAGCUUUAAAGCUGGUGAGAUCAUAAGUAUUUUAGUGGCUUAAUUUGUAUGUAAGAAUUUGUAAGUUUAUGAACUGUAAGUAUGGAAAAUGUAAAUGAACUGUAAGUAUGGAAAAUGUAUAUGAACUGUAAGUAUAAAAAUGUUUGUAAAACAACUGUAAACGUUUGAAAAACCCUAGAAAUACCUAUGAUUCCUACUAUUAUAUAAGGGUGUCUUCUACCAAGACCUAACUGUUCUCAAUGUAGUCUUCUACCAAGACUUAACUGUUCUAAAUGUUCGUUUCUUGUAAAAGUGUGUAAUUUUCCCAAGUGUAACUAUCAUUAUCAAAAUAUAGUUUUUACAUUAAAUGUUUAAGUGAAAAGAUCACUAAAUAUAUGUAAAGGGAAAAUAAAUGUAGUACUGUAGUGUUGUAUUAUAGGAACUACUGCUGUACUAACUACCUUAAACCGGAUUUAUAUUAAGGUAUCAUGUGAUUAAUUGUACCAUACUAUCGACUGGUAACAACGACAAAGGUAUGGUCGUAAAAAGAAAUGACGUUUGGCACCCGCAGACCUGCAGGUCCGGCUGUAGCUAGCAGCAAGGUGUAGGAUAGUCAAUCCAGUAUAGAUCUAUACGCAAACUCACGCUCUCCCUCCAAGAGAAUUCUGGCUACAACUCGGGCCAUGACAUUUAAGGCAUGCUCCGAUACAGUGGAUCACAAUUAUUAACGUAUUCAUGUAUAUGUAAUGUAAUGAACUGUUCUAGCUGUAAUGUACGUGCUCUCUACCUAGCAAGUAUAGUAAUGUAAUCGUUCUAGUAUCGUUGUAUAUGUUCUAUUCCUAGUAUCGUAGUAUAUGUAAUGUACUGUAAUGAUCUAGUAAGUAUUGACUCAUGAAUGAACUGACUCAUUGUAUGAUAUCGCGUUCUAGUAAUAGUUCUAGUAUCUACCUAAACUACCCAUAUGGUAGUUUACUAGUAAUCUAACUGGUACGUAUGGACAUGGAUGUAUACCCUUGCUACCCAAGGGCAUGGGAUGAACUGGAAGGGCCUUUAUGACUAUAUAUGUACACAUGAUAUAUAACUAAUAUUUAAACGACCUUCGGACGAGUACCCGAUAUCCCACCAGACCACAUCCAAAUCGAGGAAAAGGAAACAGGGUGGAUAGCCUUCCUAAGUCUUUUAAACAUUUCUUAUAUAACUAUACAUAUAGAGGCAUGGAAUUUAUAAUAUAAAAGCAUAAAAUAGGUUUUGUAAAACCUUCGAUCAUAAUUAUUAUCUAAGAAAAGAUCGACAUGAUGUCAAUCUAUAAAAUGGUUUGAAGGCAUGGGUUUGAUAAAACAGUUUAAGUAUAAGGAUGCAUUUGUUUGAAACACAAUUGUAAAUGAGUUUGAAUGGAAACAUACUGAGUAAAAUGUACAGUUUAAUAAGGAGUUUUAAACAUAAUAAGUGUUGACGAUAAACAUUUGAAGGAAAUUGUUUGGUAAAACGGCUAAUGAGUAGCCAAUCAUUUGAAUGCUGCUUAUUAAUCACAUGCUAUUGAUAUAAUAAUUAGCAUAAUUCUACUUGUAUCCCCCCAUAAAACAUUUAAAAACAGUUAAAUCGUUGAUUAAGGGGUAUGAACUCACCUGUUGUGGGUGACACGGAAGAACUGAUGAGGUAGGACUGCUAGGUGUCAAGUGAAGACUUUAGACACACACAAUGAUCCUAAUUACAUAUGAAGACAUAUGUAUAUAAACAAUUAGUGAUUAUAACACUAAUUAAGCAUGUAUAAACAUCCUAAUGCGAGGAAAACACUUUUGGUCAAGUGCUAGGAGGCUAACGGGUUGCGACAAAGGAGUGCAAGACCUCGUAUGGGAGUUUAUGGUCAAAAGACCAUAUGUGUUGGAGUUUAUGGCCCAGGGGAGUAAACUCCUGGUCGUAAACUCUUAAUAGGGUCCCCAAAUGAAGCUUAGAAUUAUUACAACUUAAGUGGUGAAGUGCUUCUAGGCUUAAACAAGUGUUUGGGCUUCUUUUUAACUCCAUUUAGGAGUUCACGGCCUUGGGAGCACUCCCCCAUGAGUUUACGGCCGUAAACUCAUGGUAAGGAGUACCAUUUGAUGUUUUGAGGUUCCUAACACUUCAAAUAUAUGAUCUACGUUGGGUUCUAGGCAUAAGGAAGGAGUUAGGGUGUCAUUUGUCCCAUUUAUAGGGGUUUACGGCCCAAGAACUUGUCUUGGCCAUAAACUCCUUUAUCCUUGUGAUUCCUUAUGUUUUCUAGGCUAUAAAUACUUUAGGGUACAUGUCUAAAUUAGUCUCUUGGCUUAAGGAAGGUUUUUAAGGCCCAAGAACUUCCUUGGCCGUGAACUCACUUUCACCCUUUGUUUCUAAUUGAUUUGGUGGCCUAAACAUGUAUUGGUGGCUUCUAGUUUGAGUUCCAAGGCUUUGAGGGACAUUGGGCACUCUUUUGGCCCUUAAAAAGGAGUUUACUCCCCAAGGUGUUCUUGGGCGGUAAACUCACAUAUCUUAGUGUUUUGACAUGAUUUUGAUGUUUCUAAACACAAUCUAAGAUAUAUAAUACAACUAGAUAGAAGUACUCACGAUUUGGGAUAAAAACCCAAAGAUCCGUGAGAGAGAAUUCGGCUUUUCUCUAGUUGGAAAUGUAACUAAUGAAUAAAUAUGGUUCAGAUUUCUAUAUAUAGUCCUGAGAUUUUUGGCAGAAAAUAUUUUAUUCCCGGAAUGAACUCCAAUAUCAUAGAGUAAUUGAAUAACAGUGUUGCACAAAACCCUAGUGCAUCCACUCUCCUGAUAUCUCCUUAAGUGCUAAUCCUGAAAUACUCAAACUUAUACCCAAAAUCUGGAAUUUCACUAUAACUGUUCUAACUUCUAUUGGCUUGAUAUGGUUUGUUCAGAAUGGAAAUUUCGGGUUGUCAUAGUUAUUAUACAUGAAAACUUAGCUCAUACACGUUAUGAUAUAAUCAAGGCGGGGCGGAUAAUAAAAUGUGUGAUUCUACUCUAGUCCCGCAUCCCAACGAGGAAAAGAAACUACGUUAGAAAUCUCACAUUCUAUUUUCUACCAAGUCUUCGUUAUAUAUAACUCGGGAAUGUAUAAGCGAGGAAAGUCAUGAAAAUAAUCUUCUUACGAAUCUUUUUCGAGGAACUAAGAUUUCCUAGUAAGGCUACUAUUGACCCUGGAUGUACGUCGAUCGUUCAAUGAAAGAGUAAGAGUAUGUUCUCGAAGGUUUGAGCUACAUCCCUAUGAUGCAGUCCUAGUACAGAAUGGAAGCAUGUUCACAAAGGUUUGACCUACAUCCCUAUGAUGCAGUCCUAGUAAGGAGUAUAAGUAAGUUCGUAGACUAGUUUCAAGACAUUUGUCGUUCAAGUCGAGGUAUUGUUAGUUGGUGAAUAACAUGAUCCAACCACUAAAAGAGACCUGGAAAUGUCUCUGUAGUUAAACCACUAUAGUCAAAUAAAUUGACUAAAGCAUGUUUCAGAUAGACUCCAAUGAAAGUAUGAUGAGAGUAUUUGAACAAAGAGUGACACGGAAGUUAGCCGAUUGUCAACAUCAUCGAUGUUUAAGAUGUACUAAGUUCAGGAAAAUUUGACCUUGUAGAAGGUCUUACAUCAUAUCCGGAGUAGCAAAAGUUUUGGCUGCAUAAAGGUCUAACUAAAAGUACCUACAAUACAAGGCAGUUUCAUAGAAAAUGCCACAUAGGACAUAGACAAGAACACGGUUCUUUAAAACAAGAAAGAAAGUAAAGUAUCUCCUACUGGUGACAAUCAUCCCUCUGGUGAACUCUUAGCUCAGCCAGUUGACGUUCCAUAUCAAGUAGGUGUUUUUCGUACACCCUCUAGCGUACUCGGAGUUCUAUGACUUCGGCUCGUGAUUCAGCAAGUGCUUGAAGUAUGGUUUCAUGGUCUCUUUCAGAUCUCUCCCGAGCAUCUUCCUGACGAAUGGUGCGAAGGGUAUGCAUUCUCGCAUUGGUGACAACUUCUGUGAUUUGAUCUAGGGCUGUCUUGCCUUGAAUCUCAUUUCGGGCCACUCUGUGGACCAGGAUUGGCAAGAUUCUGUCUACUGAGCCCCCAUUGCUCAGGUCAUAAAAGCUUCGGUCACCAUUAAAUGGCAUGGGCUGAUGUUUUCCUUGGCUCCAUGUUUCCAAGCAUUCUACCCACGGAGGCGUCGGGCCAUGAAAAGCCAGACAAGGGUUAGGAUUUGGAAAGGGAGCUUCCUGGGGUAGGUUCUCAACCUCGGGUUCGGAGUUAGCACCAUCCGAAAGGUCUUCAUCAUGGUGAUCAUUCAAAGGGAUAUGAUGAUCAUUCUCUGGUUCUUCUCCAAACCAUCCAACAAUGACUUCGUUCGGAAGGUACUGGUAGCCGUGGGGAUGGAGUCCAGCCAUGUUAUCUACGCGAGAAUUGGGGUAAGAAAAUAAUUAUUAGAAGAACUAUCUAGAUAAUUAUUUAGGAAAUCUUCAUUAGUUACAUCACUAUUUGUGAAGUGCAUACCAGUUAUAUGUAAUCAAAACAGGAUAGGCCUUCGAAUAAGUGACCUUAACUCCAAAUUCACAAAGAAUAGGGGUAAAGCAAAAUUUUCGCAGAUUCUAAGUCUAUAACAUCCUAGUUACAUAUAGUCUUAGUGUAUCCACUUAGCAACUAUCAACUUAGUAAUGAAGAUUCUUUUUAGUUCUCAGGUAUAAAGUACUUAUAGUAACAUCAAAUACCCCUAUAGUAUUUUAGGUUUAUGUUCUAUUGUUCUCAUUGUGGUAUUGUUGGUAAGAUUUUAGACUUCUUGCAACCUCACAACUACACUUAGGCACAUGCUAGUCAACCCUCGGAUAAUAUAGUUGAUCAGGCUAUAUCUUCCCAGUUUUGACUAUAUGUCUCUAAGUCCACUUGUGUUGCCCAACAAUCGUAAUUCUUUUGUACUGUCCUAGUGACACUGAUUUUAGUAUGAAUGCAGGCACAUAUAUUUACUUAAAUAUUUUAUUAUUUAAAGUAUAAACUCUUGGUCAGAGUAUUUUAAUCCCAUUGUAUUUAUAGUCUGUAUAAACAAGCAACAACAUCAUCAAUUGCAUUAAUAGUAUAAUUUUAGUUACCAGUGUGUUCUUUCAUAUUAUAAGACAACAACAUGCACAAUCAAAAUAAAAGAUGAGUCUGAACUGCUCCGUCUUCACAAGACUUGGUCGUCGUACCUGUCUAUUUAUGACCUGAGAAUACAACUUAUUUUGAAGGCGAGUAUCAGCCAAAAAGCUGGUGAAUUCAUAAGUAUUAAUGAGUCUUUGAUUUUAAAACUUGAAAUGAAAGUCUUGACAUUGUUUUGAAAGAAAGUUCGUACAAGUGUGGAAAUGUUUGUAAGUAACGGAAAGCAUUUGAAAAACCCUAGAAAUCCCUAUGAUUCCUAUUAGUAUAGAUGAAAUCUUCUACCAAGACCUAACUGUUUUGAAAGUAACAAAGAUGGUUUUUCCCUUGUAUGACUACUAUUAACAACAUAUAUAUAGUCUACCUCAUCGUUUAUGUGAAUGUAUCACAAAAUAAAAGUAAUAGGAAAAAUAUAGCCAUGUAAGUGUUUAUCCUUUUGUAUUAGGAUCAACCCCAUCGCGACUACCGAAAUAGUAAUAACCAUGGAUGUCCGUAGAUGUUCAUUUUCCUCUGUAGCUAACAGCAGGGUGUAGGAAUGGUUAGUCCCAUAAAGGUACCCUAAUAUAAGUAUUAACCGUAGGCAUCCGUAGAUGUUCAUUACCUCUGUUGCUAACAGUUGGGUGCCAGAAUGGUUAGUCCCGUCUAGUAAGUAAGUAGUCUUCUCACGAGACCCGCUGUAAGUAAGUAAUAAUAUGAUUGGUAGUCCCUAUUCUACAUUUGGAACUAAAGGUGACUUCCGCAACGAAUCGCUAGGUCGAAAUCCAUAUUUAUUACCAAAUCAUAUAUAAGCCCAAACUAUACCUAUAAUAGCUUACUAGGGAUAUAUGAACAUAUACCUUUGCUACCCAAAGGUACUGAACUGACUGACUAGAACUAUUAUGUCCGUAUAUGUACACAUGAUAUAUAACUAAUAUUUAGACGACCUUCGGACAGAUACCCGAUACCCUACCAUACCUCAUCCCAACGAGGAAAAGGAAAUAAAGCGGGUUAGCCUUCCUAAGUCCUUUAAACAUUACUUAUAUAACUAUACAUAUAUAGGCAUGCUUUUAACAAAUUAUUUAUGUAAAGGUAUCCAAGUAAGUGUAUCCAUGUAAGUGUACCCAAGUAAGUGUAUCCAUGUAAGUGUAUUCAAUGAAGUGUAUCCCUUCGUAUAUCAUUUAGUAUAGACUCAUGAAUGAACUGACUCUAGUGUAUUUCAUGUACUUGGAAUGGUAAGUAGUAUCUCCUAACUAUACCUAUAAUAGUUACUAGUAAGGUACAAGUAUACUGAAGGUAUACCUUUGCUAGCCAAAGGUACUGAACUGACUGAGGGUACUUUUAUGUCUAUAUAUGUAUACAUGAUAUAUAACUAAUAGUUGAAUGACCUUCGGACGGAUACUCGAUACCCUACCAGACCACAUCCCAACGAGGAAAAGGAAAUAAAGCGGGUUAGCCUUCCUAAGUCCUUCAAGCAUUACUUAUAUAACUAUACAUAUACAGGCAUGCAUUUGAUAAUAUAAAAGCAUAAAAGGAGUUUUAU